GCCGAUGAGUUUUAAAAAUCUUGAAAGGAAGCCCGAAAGGAAAGCCUAGAGAGAACAAUAUCUGCCAGUAGUGGACUUAAAUUUGCUCUGAACUAGUAAACUGCAGUUUCUUGGCUUAUCGAGUGCUUUGAUCAGAUAUUAUCAACUUAUAGGUAGCUGCUCUAUGCAUUGUCACUUGCAUUCAUCAAUCCUUGUAUAUCUUAUUUGUUAUUUGUGUUCUUACUCUUGAAGCGACUCCAAGGCUCUUCGGCAUAGAGAUGACAUCCUUUGCUCAUAAGAAAAUCGAGAAACCAAAGCAGCAAGCAUUGCCCCAAGAACUGCAACUUUCCGCCAAUCAGGUGAAGAAACGAAUGAUUCGACAAUCGCCACGACUAGCAGGCCAAUCAAUACAAGACAGAUAUAUCGCCUCGUCUUCGAACCAGCAGCAUUUUCUUUAACUCCUCAAAAACUUGCAUCUGGCUCUCAAUGUUCUCCAUAAUCUGUUCAUUAAAACAAGAACUGGGUCAUAUUACAAACUGCAAAAUUCAGUGACAAAUGAGAAAGGAACCAAAUAUAGACCAACACCGAC